GACGAACGCUGGCGGCGUGCUUAACACAUGCAAGUCGAACGCUGAAGGCCUGGCUUUUGUUGGGUUGGAUGAGUGGCGAACGGGUGAGUAACACGUGAGUAACCUGCCCUCUUCUUUGGGAUAACGCCCGGAAACGGGUGCUAAUACUGGAUAUUCACUGAUCUUCGCAUGGGGGUUGGUGGAAAGGUUUGUUCUGGUGGGGGAUGGGCUCGCGGCCUAUCAGCUUGUUGGUGGGGUGAUGGCCUACCAAGGCUUUGACGGGUAGCCGGCCUGAGAGGGUGACCGGUCACAUUGGGACUGAGAUACGGCCCAGACUCCUACGGGAGGCAGCAGUGGGGAAUAUUGCACAAUGGGCGAAAGCCUGAUGCAGCGACGCCGCGUGAGGGGUGGAGGCCUUCGGGUUGUAAACCUCUUUCGCUCAUGGUCAAGCCGCAACUGUGGGUUGUGGUGAGGGUAGUGGGUAAAGAAGCGCCGGCUAACUACGUG
rnacentral:rRNA from 1 species